rnacentral:lncRNA from 1 species
GGGAAAACAAGUUGCUGCGGGUUCUGUACGUGAGGACUUCUGGCAUUACACGGUUAUUCUGAACUUAAAAAAAAAAAAUGCACGAGGGCGAGUGUAGCGAAUUGUCUUUCAUUCACCGCGGUGACAUUUGAGAGAAAGUGGCCGGAUGUUGAGGUGGUUCAAAGCUCUGCUCGCAGUGUGCCUUUGUCAUUCGGGGCGAUGAGUAAACGUGGGAGGGAGGGAAGGUUGCCGCCUCUUUCCCCGGGGAGCCCCGAGAGGUAAAGCCACGCUGCGUGGAGCCGGGGCGGGAGGGACCGCUCCCCGCUUCGGAGGUCUGCGGGGUUUCUCCCCGGCCCGGCCGCUCUCGCCAGGAAGCGCAAACCCACCCCCGCAGAUGCCGGAGAUUCUCGGCUUUAUAUCUGCAGCAUCAGCGAGAAAGCGCGGCUCGGCGCAGGCUCAGUGCUCACAGCCGCAGUCCCGGCCGGAGGAGGGGGACUCGGCAGCUCAGCAUCUUCGCAGCGGGUUAAGUAGGAUUAAUACCAAAUCCCUAUUAUAUUUGCCAAGCAACUUGAAUUUAUCAAAAUUCCCCCUCGCUGUUCUGGAGCUCCGAGAGGAGGAAAUAUUGCUUACAGUGUAAGAUCCGGACAUAGCAGCAAGCAGGGAAUGCCAGCACACUGCAUCACACUGCUCCCCGCACCAGCCACACAAUCGCAACACGGAGAUCCCACUGUUCCCGUCCCUUUGUGCUUUAAAUGCGAUCGGGACACUAAAUAGGUUCGCCAUUGGAAGGGCGGGGUGGGAGAGCUUGUAACCUCCCUGCCAUAAACUUUAAUCGGAUUCCGAACUGUUGCACGGUGCGGGCUCCUCCUGACCGUGGCAUCUUCCCCGCUGUCCCCCAUGUCUACCACCGCGGUUUGCUUUGCGAGAGCGUUUUCCAAGCGAAUGAGUGAUCUCUUUCUCUUGCCAUGUGCAGUGUCACCCUUCCCCCUCCCCACCCCCACCCCCUGCCCCCCGCCCCACUCCCGGCCUCCGUACACACACUGCGCCUUUCACACUCGGGCUGCCCCCGGCCCCCCUCCCCUUCUCUCCCCUUUGCAGUGUCUUUACAUGCAAUCUCUCUCUGAAUGUGCAAUGUCUUUCCUGCUCGGGAGUGCCUCGUCCUUCACAGUGGAUUGGUUCCUCUUUCGGAGCAGAGGGCAGGCAAACGGCGUGGGAAAUGGGCCCGACGUGCACUGCAUGGUGGAUGGCAGUGUCGCUCCGGCUCCACGUGUCGCGGCUGCCGGGAGGGGGCCAGGGCUGGCCUGCCCCCUUCCCCCCUCCCCCCGCAUCCCGCUGCUUCGUUUCGUGCUGGGGAAGUGGGGGGGAAGGGAAGCCCAGCCACCCCCCGGCCCCGCGGAGAGCCGGUCCCAGCGGCUGCGGGCGGGGGAGGGCUCCCCCCACAACCAGCCGGGCAAAGCUGUUGCGCAGCACAGCCCCCCCUGCCCACCCGAUGCGCACAGACGCCCACACGCGCUCAGACGUUUGUCCUCCUGAUCUGGUGAGAUCAAGUGGGAAGCGGGAUCGCCAGCGUAAUCGGCUGUAAUAAAUAAAAUAGCCCGAGAUGCCGGAGAUAUACAGAGGGGAAAUAAGAGCUUGUGUCCUUAAAGGGAACAUCUGAUAAGGCCACGGAGGUGGCAUCGUGCGUGUGGGAAGGAAUCCGUCUUGCUGACAUUCGCAGCCUGCUGUACGUGGGGGAAUCCUAAAGCAGGCUGGGAGCUUCCCCAGCUCCUCUGCACCCCCCAGCGCUGCUUUUCGAAGCUCUGCAACGGGGCUUUCCUACUGUGGUAGUGAUUGGAAAGACGGGGUCACGGCUGAGAUAUGCAGAUGCCAUUAGUGUUUGUUCGGCUAUGUCCCGGCGGUCCCUGCUCCCUCCGCCUUCAGCCCGGAACGGUUCGGUUCUGCAGUUCGGGAAUGUCGGUGCCUCUGACCAGAGAGUUACCUUUCUGGUCUGCAGUGGGAGCCAACCUCAAGAAAAGGGUUAUUUAAUCAUUUAUAUAGCUUUGUGCGUUAAUCAAUGCGUAUUAUUAGUUUGUGCCCACACACGCACGCGCACCAAAGAAGGGGGAAAAAAAUCAGGUGAGCUGGGAAAUAACAUAUUCAUAAUAAUACGAGGAAAAGGUUAAAUACAGUAAACAUGACAGCAAAUUCGAACGCGGGAGAAAAACGACGACAAAACCCCCAUAGAAAGCAGUUAAAACCGUUUGGCUGAAGGGAGAAAGUAACUCAAGAACUCCACCAAGGGACAAACAGAGGAAAUGACACCACAACAGCGCUAAGCCCGCGUUGACCUUUCAUCUCACUAAAGUGUCCCGCUGCUCUGGUGCAGUUCUGCUGUGAUCCCUUCACCUUCCUCCCCUCCCUCCGAGCUCCCGAGUCGGCGGCAGUGUUUGAGCGCGGAGGUCGCAGAAUUACAAGGAGGGCUGACACUUGCCCGGUGCCUUUCACAGCUUUGCAGAAACUCUCACUGUGCAGCAGUGUGGACAAAAAUGAUUAAAUUAUUCAUUGCAGCCUUACUGAUGGACAUUAAAACUUAAGUGUUUAAAUAAGGAAACCGAAGAUUUACUUUUAAGCUGAUAAUAACUGCAUCUGUGCUGGUUGAAUUGAAUGCUGGCUAAAUGUGGAACUGGUUACGUUGUUUAAAUCCUCUCUCUUUUACUCACUGUGAGCAGUGUGAACUGGAUAACACAACUAUGUUACUGGCAGAGCAAACUGUUUAAAUCUUACGUAAUUAUAACUGUUUGCUCUUAAAGCAGUAUUUGAGGUCUGUUCAAAAUAAAAGGUUGUUUUCUUGCAUCAGCAUCAUUUCACCAACCUGAGUUCUUACAUUUACAAAAGAAUGCUUCCAAGUAACAUUAAGGAAAAGUAGUAGUUGCUCUUUUUUAAAAAAUUUAUUUAUUUAUUCCAGUGUAUAUUGCCUCUACAAAUUGCAAUGAAUAAGCUUGAGGCCUUGAAGCUUUUAUUUCCUUUUUGUUUUUUUAAAAAAGUCUCAAUUCCAUAGGAUCAGUUCUGAAGGGACUUUUCCAAGCGGUGUUGUUAGCAGGGGUUUUUUGUUGUUAUUGUUGUUGGGUUUUUUGUUUGUUUGUUUGUUUUCAGGUGCCAAAAUAUCCAAGCAUUCAAAAUCAUGCAGAAGUGUUUCCAGCUGUCUUAGUUUCAACUGGGACAGAAUAUUAUGCUUGAAAUGAGAAGGAAAAAUUAUUGUAAAGUUUUUAAAAAGCGUACAAAUUUUCAUGAGGGAAGGCAGAUAUGGGGUAUCUUUAUGCUUUAUUGAAAACUACUGGAUUUUCUGGAUGUGUAGGAAUACAAGUAACUGCUGUACACUGCUCCAUUAUUUUAUAGAAUUAGUAUUAUUUAUUUAAACUACUCUUCCAUUUUUUAAGUGCAAAGAAAACUGUAGGGAAAAAAAAAGUAGUUAUGGUGUGUGUGCAUGAAUUCAUAGCAAAAACAGGGAAAUUAUGAAUCAUUAGAGUGUAUUCUAUUUAAGGAGAAACAAUGAGACAUUCAGGGGAAAUAAUUAAGGCUGGAUCUAAUGUAAAUGAAAUGUAUUGAAACCAGGUAACACUGACAAAGAAAGAAAAAUGUGUUAAUUGUCAGUGGAAAUAUUAAAUGUUGACAGUUGUUACACAUAUGGACUCACCAGUACAGAACACCACUGUUAAGUUUAGAAAUAAUGUAGGAUUUUUUGCUGCAAUGUUUUAUAUUUUUAAAUGUAUACUUUUUAUAUAAAUUUAAUAUCAGUGGUGAGCACAUUUAAGGUCUCAAAGCACUGUGUAAAUUAUCUCUGUGAGAUGGAGGGAACUGCAGUGACCUGUUCAGUCACCCAGUAAGCCACUAACAAAUGGCUCUUUCCAGGUUCCUCAGACCACAGCUUAGCAGUUCUACAGUUUUUGAAUGUAUCCUGGAUUUGGCUCAGUAUUCUUCUUUUAAUAUGUGGCAGUUAUUUCCUCUUUAUUUUAUGGACUGAUGGAAAGUCAAAGCAGCUCAUUCUAAAGAGAGUUUAAAACAAAUUUGUGUACCAGAGAACUUCACAUACAAAGGAAAGUCUUGUAUCAUGCAACGUAUUGGGUACCAGUAAAACAUAACAAACAGUUAUAUUGGAAUAAGUUAUCCUCAAGUUUUUAUUCUGUCUUAUUUUUGUCAGCUAACCCUAAUACACAGAACAAUAUGCACAGGCUUUCUAAAACAAUUUUGCUUCUACAUACUGAUGACAUUUUCUCAACUUAAUUUCAUUUUUCUCUUCUAUGCUCUACAUGUAUUUAUUUAUUUAUUAUCCAGUUUCAGCUUUCUGUUGGGUAGAAACAGAAAUAUCUGAGCAAGAUGGCAGCUCUGCAGAGCUCAAAGAAAGAAGUUAAUAUAUUAAAAUUCAAGUGCUGUGAUGGACAACUGAAUUCUAUGCAAAUUAAGCCUCUUCUGUAAGUUAACCACAAUAUAUGUUGUUGGUUAUAUCCUAAAUGUUAUUUUUAAGUUUAGACAUAUAUUCACUUGCUUAUUUCUGAACUUUGAUGUUUCUGUUUAUUUCAUCAAAAGUAAUCAUUGCUCUUCAGCAGAAAUAAGGGCUAUACAGAUACACAGCUAUUAUAAAUUAAGGAAAUAAAUGUAGUGACAAGAGAAGUAAUAGGCUGUCCAAUAAGCAAGCUGCUGAUUGCUUAUUGGUCAGCCUAUUUUGGCCUUGUUCUUAAAUGAUUAAAAUAGCUUUACUAUAAAAUAUUAGACUCUCCAUUUAUUUUCAGAUAAAAAGUGCAACGUUAGAACAUUGUUGUAUUGUUACAAUUCUUACUUAGUUGUGAAGUGCAGAAGCAUUUAAUUUUCUCCCUGUUACCUUUGACCCUAAUACUGUUUGACCCUGACAGAGCUGUGACUAUUCACCAAAACGUGUAUGGGCUGCUCACUUGGUCCCAUCUACUUUUAAUGUUGAGCAGGAGGAAGCAACAGUGAGAAGAGUCAGAGUCCCCUGCAGCUUUUCAUGAACAUUCCUCUGUAUUGCACAGCUCCAUUGCUGUGGACCAAGCUUUUAUGCUUGGUCAGAAUAGGAAUUUGAGUUUAGGAAAGGGGCUGCAUAGACAUAGCCCUGAAACUUAUCCUGUCUUUGCCCUCCUGUUGCCGUUUCUGCAUCUUCUGUCAUGUACAGGAAGCCAUAUUUUUAUGCCAGUUCAACUAUUUUGAAAAGCUUUUUAUUGUUCUUGUUUGUUUGUUUUUGGAGAUCAUCAUUCACAUAAUUACAAUUCUAGCUUUCUUUAUAAGAGUAAUAAGUGCUGUACAGAGAAGGGUUUUACAACCUGCAAUAUAUCUAGAGGAAGAAAGGAACUGAUAAGUUUCCCACAUUUUUCAUCUUCUGAAAGAAGCCUGACAUAUCUUCCAUUUCAUUCAUUCUGUGAGAUGAUUAAAAAGUUGCUCAACAAACUAAGCCUCAUCCAGGGCUCAGCAGGAAAUAACUGCAAUCUAAGCACAUUAAAGAACAGACAGGGCAACCAAAGUGUACCUCUUUCUUUGCCUUUCAAGAUCAUGGGCAAAAGAGAAAAGCAGUGUAAUAUUCUGAUAAAACGGGAAGCUAGCAGAAGCUGGUUGAUAGGUAAGGUUAUAGAACCUAAUCCAAAGCACACAGAAGUCAAUGGAAAUACUCUGACUAAAUAAGCUUUGCAUUAGGCACCUAGUGAGUAAAUGAUGUUUAAAGUAUUCAUGCAGAUCUUAGUCAGAUGAGUGAAGAAGAAAGUGAUGCACAUUCUAAUCAAAAUAAAUGCUAUUAAACCACUUGGUAUAAAUGUUAUUUUGGCUGACCUGAGAGUUCACCUUUAUGACUCAGAAUAAACUGGAAGUGGAUCCCUCGGUGCUAAGUUCUAUGUCCUAUCAUUUGAUAGUACAAACACUUUGAUUACAUAGAAAUGUGUAUAUAUGUAUAUAUGUUUAGAAUAUAACAAUGUAUAUGGAGGUGACUUUUAAAAUCGGUUAGUGCCUUUAUAAUCUGCAGAGAAAGUCCUUCUGGAAAUACUUUUCUCACAUGACUAAAAUGCCUUCCUUUUUGAUCUUAAAUUUAUUUUAGCUGUUAUGUACCUAUUCUUAUGUUGAUAUUGAUCUUAAAGAUCAAUACCAGACUAUAAACAUCUGCAAGCUCUGUUUAUUCAUUCAUGUGUUUACAGAGAGCAUUUCCCUCAUGUUAGUUCUGUUUGCAAGAUUUUUCAAUUUUGUCUCAUGAAAUAAGUUCUGCAUUCCUGACAUCAAGCUGACAGUCUUCUCCCUAACUCCACUCUAUCUUCAGUGAAUCUUUGUUUAAUAUGGAGAAGAGGGCCUAUUCAAGGUUUUCACAAAGAAGAUAUGUGAAAUAACAUUACACACUACUUUCUUUUCCACUCCUUUUCUAAUUUUUCAUUUUUAAUAGCUACAUAAUACUUUGGUAGCUGAUAGUCCUUCUCUAGUUGCUUAUCUAGAUCUUCCUCUUUCUCUGUCAUUUCAACCUGAUGUGAUUGCAGGUCACAGCAAAAAAACCUCUUGUUACAGUGCUUUUUGUAGCAUUUUAAGUUGAAUGCUAUUUCUAUUAUAGGAGUUACUAAGGUCAACUGAUACUUCCUGUAGUUUUUAUGAUUUUUUAUGAUUCCCAAAAUUGAAUUAUUGGCAGUAUACUCCAAGUUUUGUUUACUUGUUUUUUUGUUGUUGUUGUUCUGUGUUGGUUUGUUGUUGUUGUUGUUUGUUUGUUUUGUGAUUCUAGUCUUUGAUUCAAAUAUUAAAAAUAUCCUCUUACAGUACUCUCCUUGAAGAACCCCACUGGUAGCUCCCACCUGAUAAUACAAACACAUAACAAAAUCUACUGUCCUCUCCUGGUUAACCAAUUCUUUAUCUUCUCAGUCUUAACUAACAGUUUUCCUACUGAGACAGAAAUUAGCUGUUUUGAAACCCGGAUUGGUGAGAUCUCCAUUUGUUUUGUAUAGAAGAUAAAUUAUUAGAUAAAGAUACCAGGUAUAUGGUAUGAUCUACUUGUUGAAAAGUUUAGAUAGAUCUUAUUGUUUUCUUUGUAAUUCUGUGCCACUACUCUUUCCUUGCCUGAAAAUUUACUCUAAAGCUUUACCUUUUAAAACCAUCUGAGAAUCAUAUUGAAAGAUCUGAUUACUUCGUAUCUUCAAAACCUGUUCUCAAAUAGCAUUUGCUGUUUUCCUUGAAUGCUCAUCCUGAAGCAGUUAAGAAUCCUUGUUCUAGAUCCUUCAGUUUCAGGUAUUAAUUCCCAUAGGAUUCUGCAGUAAAGGUUAUCCAGGUUCUUUGAUUUGAGUAUUUUGUAGUCUUUUAGUUAUUUUCAGAUGCAAUGAUUCUUCUUGAUGGUUGGACUGGACGAUUUUGUAGGUCCUUUCCAACCUUGUGAUUCUAUGAUUCUGUGAUUCUCUUCCACAUCCUUAACCUCAUUAAUUAUAUUCCUCAUAUCCAUACCAUGAUCCUUGUUGAAAACUGAAAAAAAAUAUAUUAAUUUAAUUGGGCAUCUCUUUGUGAAUAAUUACAAAUUCAUUAAUUUUUGCUAAUUUGCUGCCUGUUCUGAUAUUCUGCAAACAUGAAGCCAUUGCUUUCCUGGCAAUUUUUAAGUAAGAUCUGAAGGUUUAUGUUUCAUACUUUGUUAAAAUCUACAAGGAGAUACACUAUAUGCAUAUUAUGUUCUUCUGUCACUGCAUGUGUUUGUCCCUGUCUUGUCCAUGUAUUGUCUACAUAUUAACAGUCCUUCAUUUUGCGCGUCUGAAUACAUCAUAGUAACAGAAGGGGAAUGAGAGGGAAAACGUAACUGAUGAACACUAGAUCACUCCAAGACAAAAGAGAAUAUGUCUGACAAAAAGGAACUUAGUACUUUCAAAGAGCUGAAUAAUGUAUAGCUGGAAGAACAAGGAGAAAAGAAACUGCAAACAUGCAUGGGUUUGGCAUUUUAUGAGAAAAGAGCUGUUCUGAAUGUCAGAUGUCAAUCCAAAUGGAGAGAAAUGUUGCCAGUUGCUAGAUGUUACCAGGCUGAAUAUAUAGAAAGUGGUGAGAUUUUUAGUUUUAAAAUAAGCCCCAAUGAACAAGCAAAAUUCAUCAUUGUAAUAAAUAGUUCCAAGAAGAUUCUUCCAUUAUGCACCUUAGAGAAGAUUAGAGAGAAAGAUUAGAAAGGGAAGAGGAAGAAAGGGAUUUUUUUUUUUAAUUUUACAAACAAACACAAUUAAAAUUUUAUAAGGGAGAAAUGAGAAAAUGCAGAUUUCAGAAGCUGAGGGAGUUCCAAUAUUCGUUUUAAAAUUAUACAUCAACACAGCUGGGAGAAUCUACUUUUAAACUAAGUUAUUUAUCUUUUAUUUAUUAACUUUUAUUUUUCUUUAAAAUCCACUUUGACAUUUUUGUACUAAACUAUUUUUUUCUCAAAGAACGCUCCGUGACACUUACUGUGGGUACACUCAAUUUACAACAGUUUCGGAAAGUGAAGGCAAAGUAAUGAGAAGUUUUCUUGUUCUCAUAUAAUGUGCUAUUCCUGGAAGAAAUAAAUGACUUUACUUGUUAUUAGAACUAAUCUGAAAAUUAAAAGUAAAAAUGAUAACUUUAAUUAUUAUGACUUUGAGUUAGUUCCUACAACAUAUACUCUUUUUUGUUUUAAAGUUUAUUAUUGCUUUAUUGAGCUUUAGAAUAUAUCUUCUGCCCUCCAGGUCUGAAGCUCUAGUUAAGUUUUUGGGAAAAAACAAACAAACAGCAACAACAACAACAACAAAAACAUAUGGAUUCAACAACAUGUGAUAAUGAAGCUAGAUUAUUUUGUCCAUGAUAAGAUUUACAAAAAAUCUUAUUUAAACAUUUCAUUCAGCACUUUCAUGCAUUUCAUUAUGAGCCUGAUCUUUUUCAAGAAGUGACCUUUUGUGAGUAUUUUGUCUGCACAUUAAAAUGUACCCAGGUUUUUCAAGUUGCCAUCCACUGAAAAACUGAAUUUUACAUAAAAUCAAUGGGAAAUUCCUCCAUUUUUAGAAAAUAAAUUACUCAAAGAUUUUUUUCACAUUGGGUGUGUUCUAACAUGUGGUUAACUAAGACCUUCUUGACAGUUUUAGUUUUUUGCCUAGGAAGUACUCUCUUCAGAUAUUAUGUGACCUCUUUUCUGGGACGUAACAAUGUGGAAAGGGAAACUGACAGUUUUAAACACAGAGGACUGAAGGAGCUGAAUAGAGAUGAAAAGAUGAAGAAGGAUUAUUGGCUGUCCUGUGUUUCAGUGAUGUCAAAAACUAACCGUGAAAUUUAUUAUAAAAUUAUCCUAUUCACACAGGAUGGUAAUAUUUACUUGUUCAUAUAGCAAACACUUAUUCAGCAGAAGAAAAUCACAUGGUUUUGGUGAUGAACCAUGCAAGCUUCACUAACAGUUCAUAUGAUUUUAAAUUUGUUUUUCAUUUAGUUUAGCUUUUAACUGAGAAAUGUUCAAUUCAAAAUUAAUACCAAAACUAAAGACUACUGUCAGGAACAUCAAGCCAUCUAAAUGUCAUCCUGGGUAAUUGGCUGUAGGUGGCCCUGUCUGAGCACUAGUGUCAGACCAGAUGAGUCCAGAAGUUCCUUCUGGCCUCAAUCAUUCUAUGAUUCUGAUUGCCUAACAUUAUUACUAUUACCAGAUUAAACAUUCACAAGUUAGGAAAUACCAGAAUAAAGCUGACCCUCGAUUCACAUGUGAUCGCAUCAUACAUUGCAGUGUUUGCUAGUGAACUUAUUACACAUUCACAUGCUCUUCCCACAUUGCAUUUCAAUUUGGAAUAGUAAAUAAACAAAUAACAUUAAGUACAAACACUUAUUAAAUAAUGAAACAAAUACUUAUCAAUAAGUUGAAAUAUUAAGUAUACUUUUGUUUAAUUACUCAGGACAAAUGUCUUGUUUCACUUUUAAUACGUAACUAUUUAGUAAGCUUGAUUUUUUCACAUUCGGUGUUUCUCUCAAGAUCUUAUUUCCUUUACACUGUUGAAAUGACAUAAUGGACUCAGAAUUAUAAAAUUGAAUUUUUUAUGAUGUACAUCACUGCAUUGUCCGAACUAUUAAACAGUAACUAAUUUGUGAAGAACUAUAUUAUCAUCAUGAUAAUUAUGAUUAAAAAAUGGGAAGCCAGUGUGGAAAUGAGGAUCAAAAAUGCCCACAGAUUUAGGAUAGUUAAUCUGACUUGUAUCUGUAUUUUGGAAAGUUCUAAGAUUUUGGUAGUUUUCACAUAUGCAAAACAAAACUUUCACUGACAUAAGGUAUAUUUGGAGAUGAUCACUGUUCCAGUCUCCAGAUUUCAUGUAAGAACUCAGAUGAAGUCACAUUCAAAAUGUUUUUUCUGCGACUUUCUUAAUACCAUGGGGAAAUUCAACGGUGGAAAUGAGUGCCAGACUCUGGAUUGAAAGUACAGAGUUCUAACACUACUAAAUGAUAUUUUCCUCCUUGAUUUCACUUCAGAGAAGGUCAUUUCUGUACAACAAAGAAAAUAGGGGCCUUGGGGAAAAAUAUACCUUUAAUGAAAGACUGUCAGACUACACAAGUGCAUGGAACUAUGGUUCCACUUACAACUUCAUUUCCGUAAUUUUCUAACUAUGAAAUGAGCAUUUCAGAUUAUAACCCUAAUAAUGUCCUCCUAAUACAAUUGUAUGGCAUAUAGUAAUCUUUAUUGCAGACAAGAUAGCGAAGAUCACCAUCUCUACAUAGGAAAUGGUUUUUGGUAUAGAACACAUAAGAGAAGAAAGAACUGGUGUGAGGAGGACACUUGAACAAGCAUAAGAAUGGGAUGCAGAGGUGGGAGGAAUUACCAAAUGCUGUAGUCUUCUCUCUGGGCAUCUUUUACUGUAAAAGUGUGGUAACAUUUGCUAGAACAGAUGAUUAAGGCUGUACAGGUUUCACAGACAGAAUAAAAUUUAGUGGAAGGACUUGAAAGAUUCAGACAUGAAAUUCAUUGAGUGAAAGGAGUUAGAAAAGGUCAGGUCCAGAGGGGCAACAUAAAUGUAAUGACAACUAAGUAUAGUUCUAUGAACAAAAGUUUGGAUGACCAAUUAUUUUUCCGAGAUUAGGUCAGUUUAGGAUAUGUUAUAAAAAUAUGUAAAUAAAACCUAUAAAUUAGGUUGGAAUACCUAUAUGUGAAAGAGAAUACCUUGAUCAUUUCCCAUCACCCGGGAAUAUCUCUGUUUUGAAAAACAUAAAAGUAAUUCAGAAAACUUAAAGUCAUUUGAGAUAUUAUACAAAGUGGAAUUUGAGAACUGGAGAAAAAUACAUCUACUCUAUGUUCAAUUAACUAAUGAAACUAUUUGGCUACAGAAUUAUGCAACCUUACUUUCUCUCUUUUUCUUAUAGAAAAAACUCAUAUAUUCUCCAACCUUCUCCCCUCCCCCCCUCUCCACCCCCUUCUUUCCGAACAUACGGCAAGCUUUUUGUCUACUCUGCUGUAUCUCAGACAAGAAGAAAACACUCUGAGGAUGUAAGUUAGUGAAAUCAAGAAUGUUUUCCUGUUGAAGGAAAUGAAAGAAAGUCAUAACAGACAAACUGGUUUACCUAGGUCCAAUUUCAGAGAUUCCUAUCCUUGAAAUAUUUGCACAUACAUAAAAGUAAGUAUAUUUGGUUAACUGACAAUAGCAAGAAAUUAUUCAGGGAACAACUGUUGACAGAUGUAAAAUUCUAUAAACUUCUAGAUUUGUCAGUAGGAUAUGGAAAUUGUUUAUCAGUGAUGUGCAGAAUAUGGUCUUUUUUUUUUCAGCUUUAUUCAUCUACAGGAACUAAUAACUCAGAUUGCUUUUGUUUCUGAUAUAUAUAUUUUAAAAGAAGAAAUAGUAGCUUUUUAGAAAAUAAUCUUGAUUUAGUUAGUAAGAAGGAUUUAAUGUCAGCUAGCUACCUGUAUAAGAAUGAAAACAUCAUUAGUGUUCCUCAGUCUUCCUGGAAAUUCAAGAUCUGACUGAGGACAGCCCAAAUGACAGUGCUUUCUCAACACACAAGAACUGUCAAUACCACCACUCAAGUCCCCUAUCAUAUCUGACUUGCCGAUCCAAAAAAAAUGCCCCUGGACCAGGCUGAAGAAUAAUUAGUCAUUAAAUAGUGUUUUAAAAAUACUAUUUUGCUCAUUAAAAAAGGGAAAUAAAACUUUUUACUUAUGGAAGUAAGAUUUCUGUUAGUGAUUCUUCAUUAAACCUCAUUGCAAACUAAAGAGAUGCAAAUAUGCUUCAUCUUCUGAUUGUUCAGUGUGACUUGAGACAUAUUUAUGAAGAAAAAAAGCAUAUCUUUCUAGAAAAGGACACAUUUAUUUUUUAAAGAAGAGGUCUAAACCCUCAUAUUUGAUGCACACGUGUAAUGCAGUCAGAAUCUCAUGUUUGUAUUUUGCUCUUGAGAAGUUUUUUUUUUUUUUUUUUUUUUGGUUGAAUGGUUAGCUUUCUUUAGUGUUUUGUUUCCCAGAGCUGUCUACUUUUUAUAUAAAAAUAUCUACAUACCAAUUUAAGGCAUUCUGAAGUCAAUCAGUUGUAAAUGUAAGUGUGUAUUAUGGGACUUUUCUUCACUUUAAUGUGGUUAAUGAAUAUGUUCCCAUGACUUUUAAAUGGUCUGGUGCCUCAGCACAUUUUCAAAAGUACUCUAUUUGAAGACAUUUUCAUUUAUAAUGGGGAUUAAAUCUCAUUUCCCUCAAUAUCUGCCCUCACUUAGUCUUUUUUAAGGCUUCUCCGGAAAAGAAUUAUAUGUCAGCUGCUGCCCCUGCUCUUAAUGCUUCCCUAGUAUGAGUAAGAGCAGAAACCAACUGAUAUCUCACACUGUUACUCUUAUAGAGACAAUAUGCAGACACUACACUAUUCUCCAUUCCUGGCAGAAGAGCUCUGUGCUACCAUUUCACGUUACCUAUGUGCACUUCUGCUUUGUGCUUCUGCUAAAGCAUCAUGCCUUGCUUUAGCCUUUGUGAUUUCAAAUUUUCUCUGUAGGAACUUAGAGUGAGAUCCCCUUAAUUUCAAGCUACAGCAGAUCCUAACUUAAAAAAAGAAAGUCACCUGAAAUGGUAGUACAGAUAGUCCUCAAUGAAGGGAAGGACACAAAAUAGAAGGUUAUAAAAAGAAGAUGAGAAAAGAGGUGAAAGUUAUACUAUUUGAUUGUGUCCUUCACUUGCUGAGUCAGCAGGAGCCAAGAGCUCUGCAGGGGCACACUUAGCCUUCACAUUUCUCCACAGAAACCCCAUCUGGCCAAGUAAAUUGCCAGCAAUUGAGAAGCCAUGCAGGAAGCAGUAUCCAGCUAUUCUCAGUUAGUGUGAAGGUUACUCUGUUGUAGGAUGUAGUGGGAGAGGAAAUAAGGAAAAUGUUACAAGGCUAUACCUCUUGCAUACAGUAAAAGGAAGCAUCAAAUACAUGACCAAAUUUGGGCUGUUCACUGCAGUUCUUAGUCACAUAAAGAAUUAAACCUCAUGGAACAUUUAAAUGCUGCUUUAGGAAGACUCAGUAUCAGUAUGAUAAAAAUCUUCAUGAAGAAAAAAGCUGGAGCAAAGUGAACAGUCAAAUUGUACUAUAGAAUUUCUGUUUGAAUUUCAAAUUCAAAAACUUUUGUUUAUAAUCUUUCUGCCAAGUUAUCUGAACUCGGUAUGUUGGAGAUUCACUUGGCUUUUGUCAAGGACCUGUUACUUUAACCUUCUUUUGAAGUGCAUAGAAAAAUGGAAUGCCUUCACUGGGUUUCUUAAUGUACAAGAUUCACUCACAUGCAGGUACUGAGCUGAGAUAUAAAAUAAAGAAAAAUAUCUCAGAAUCCCAUAAAAGAACAUAACAGUAUAUAUGGGGAAAACUCUGGAAGAAUAUAUCAGUCCCUAGUUUACAUGACUAAUUAAAAUACCAGCUGUACUUGAGUCCUUUGGUUCAGUGUUUCUCAGUGAGUGAGAUUGCUCUCUCUAGUGAAAUGUACCAGUACUGAAGGUGAGACAUAGAACAGAGUAUAAUCCCAAGAAUCAUACAAUCAUAGCAUCAUUUGAGUUGGAAGGGACCCUUAAACAUCAUCUAGUCCAACUCCCCUGCAAUGAACAGGGACAUCUGCAGCUAGAUCAGAUUGCUCAGAGCAGUUUUUUGGUUGCAGUAGGGAAUCAGUGAUCAUUCAGAUCCACGAUUUUCCAUCACUUGCAUUCAAUCUGAGUUAUUUGGGUUGCAACAGGAGAACUUGAAUUUUCAUUUGAGAAUUUUCAUUUUAACUGAAUAAAACUUGAUUUCCUUCAGCCUCCAGAAGCUUCAACUAAAUUGAGUAUGAAAUUUGAGGCCCACAUCUAACGGAGUUCCUCAAGGGUCAGUACUGGGACCAGUACAAUUCAAUAUAUUCAUCAGUGACUUGGGUUAGGGAAUAGAGUGGACUGUCAGCAAGUUUGCUGAUGACACAAAACAGGUAAAAAUAGCUGACUUGCCAGAAUGCUGUGCUGCCAUCCAACGAGGCCUGGACAGGCUGGAGAGUUGGGUGGGGAGAAAUUUAAUGAAAUACAACAAGGGCAAAUGUAGAGUCUUGCAUCUGGGCAGGAAUAAGCCCAGGUACCAGUAUAGGUGGGGGACUGACCUGUUGGAGAGCAGCACAGGGGAUAGCGGCCUGGGUGUCCUGGUGGACAACAGGAUAACCAUGAGGCAGCACUGUGCCCUUGUGGCCAAGAAGGCCAGUGGCAUCCUGGGGUGUAUUAGAAGGGGUUUGGCUAGCUGGUUGAGAGUGAUUCUCCUCCCCCUCUACUCUGCCCUGGUGAGAUCACAUCUGGAAUCUUGUUCUGGGCCCCUCAAGUCAAGAAGGACAGAAAACUGCUUGAGAGAGUCCAGCACGGAGCCACAAAGAAGAUUAAGGGAGUGGAGCAUCUCCUUAUAAGGAAAAGCUGAGAGAACUGGGUCUCUUUAGUGUGGAGGAGACUGAGAGGUGUCCUCAUGAAUGUUUAUAAAUAUGUAGAGGGUGAGUGGUCAGGUGCUGGAAUGGGCUGUCCAGGGAGGUGGUGGAGUCACCAACCCUGGAGAUGUUCAACGAACGUUUAGACAUUGUGUUAGGGACAUGGUUUAGUAAGAACUACUGGUGAUAAGUGGGCAGUUGGACUGGUUGGUCCUGUAGGUCUUUUCCAACCUUGGUGACUCUAUGAUUCUAUGAUCCAAUGAUAGGACAAAGGACAGUGGGUGCAAGCUGAAACAUAGGAGAUUCCACAUAAAUAUGAGAAAAAACUUCUUCACAUCAAGGGUAACAGAACACUGGGACGGGCUGACCAGAGAGGUUGUGGAGUCUCCUUCUCUGAAGACACUCAAAACCCACCUGGAUGUGUUCCUAGGUAACCUAAUCUAGGCAUUCCUUCUCUGGCAGGGGGAUUGGACUAGAUGAUCUUUUGAAGUCCCUGCCAAUCUUGACAUUCUGUGAUUCUGUGAAGAAGUGUCCCAAGAGUAAAUUAGCAGAUUGUUGAACACUUAUACAUCAUGAAUUUUGUAAAUCAGCAGCUCACAUCUAGUAAGGCUGGAGUUACAUGUUACAUCAGCAGCAAGGCAGAAAGCAGAACAGAAACUUUUAAGUCUCCCUCAAAAAUAAUAGACAUUGCCCAUUCAUAAGCAGUAGAAGCUAUGUAUCAACUUUUUUUCUACUAUCUUACAACUAUUAAACUGGUAUUUGAUCAAAUUUCUACUAGUUAUAGUUUGUUUUAAGAAAAAGUUUUUACUUAACAUUUCACAGUUCUUUUUUUUUUUAAAAAAAAGAAAAUAUAUUAAAAAAAAAAAAAAAGAAGAAAGAAAGAAAAGGAAGAUUAAAUAUAUUCUUACCAGAAAUUUAGAAGUGCUAAUGAGUGUUAGGGUACAGUGAAUGCUGAAGAAGGAAUACCAAAGAAGGUAACUUUCUACUAAAAGUGUGAGAAAAAAGUUGGUCUUUUAGACUGCCUCUGAUAAAUAUGAUUUCUUUCAAAACAGAUUUUAACACAGAAAGUAUUUUUGUAAUUCUGUGCCAAGAUCAUGUAUUAAGACUAUGUCUGUAAAAAUAAAUUUAAGAAGUAAUCACAGUAGAAGUGUUUCCGUAAUUUUGUCCAAAAUUGUUAAUGAAUUCUGAUUUAGACUCCAGUGUGUGUUUGCUAAAGCUAUCUAGCAAGCAACAGUGCUCUUACUCAACUGGGACUGCUGUCCUUUCAGUAGAAGUCUGAGUAUGUAUGUGAUUUUGAUUUGUCUUCUUGCAACACAAUAACCAUGAGACACUACACAUAUUUAAUACCAUGUUUUGAUACACUGUACUGUUGGAUUAGUCUCUGAAAUCUUCUGAGCACUUCAAAGCAGAAGUGAGCAACUGUAUUUGCUUUUCUGCUUAUGCCCUCUGCCACUUCUAGCAAUAUGCUCUUUUAUGGCAAAGAUGCCUUCCCGCAAUCACACAUGUCAUUUCAUUGAAAAAUCCUGGGCUGCAGUAUGGAGUCGUUCUCAUGAGUUCUGGGGAGAACCUUUGGAUGCUUACAAAGCAGAACCUCUUCUUUCUUUCUAUGACUUACAGACCUUGCAUGCAAUUUUGGUGAAUUCUGAAGAGCUACCCAGGAAAGCUAAUGCAGAAUCUUUUUUUCAAGAUACAGUUCCCUCCAUUCACCAAAGGAUAGUGGGAGCAAGCUUGUCCCAUGGACUUAAAUUAUAACCCUAAUUCAUCAACAGAUGGCAGCAGAAAACUCCCUACCUCCAUAUCUUCUUACUAAAGGCCCUAUAAAUAACCCUAAUAAUGACAAAGGAAGGGAGAAAAGAAAAAAAGAUUUUGCUGACUAAGCUUUCUGUCUAUUGUAUGCUCUUAACUUCUCAUCUUCAGUGCGAAAAUCUCCUAAAUAUUAUUUUUAUGCUGAGUCUGAAUGACGAGAAGCAGCUGCUGCUUUUAGAAUGGCUAUCUUGCUUGUCAUCUCUGUUUUUUAAAAGAUUCUUUUAUUGAAAUUGAUUCUUUUUAUUUUUCUUGUUGCAAAAGAAUAUAGUGAAUAUAGGUUAUAGCAAAUCCUUUGCUUUUCUCACUGAUAGAUUACUGUGAUGACGACUCUGUCCUUUGACUGCAGUAAAGACUUUUUCAAAUGUCAUCACUACAAGGUCAGGACAAGUAAUUUAGUAAGCAGUUGUACUAGUUUUUGAGACAUGCCACACUAGAUUAUGGUGUUUCAUGAAUUCCACCCCCUUCAAAUCAAGUAGAUGGCAUAAUAAAGUCAGUGAAUUCUUUAUAUAGAUUGAAGCAUUAAGAUGCAUAGAAAAUAGUUUCUUUUUGAUUUUUUUUUUUUUUUAAUGAUGCUGAUAUCUUGGCAUUACCAACUAAGGAAAAAGCAUUACCAUAAAAAUUUCUAAGAGGCAUUUCCUCAUGUAAUUUAUAAUAGUGGGUGUCUGACAUUGGAAAACUUACAUUAUAUAAUUCUUUUUUAAGCUCUAGGCACAUAAAUUAGGCCCAUAGUUCCUGAUUUCUUUCCCAUCUCUUUCACUAACUUAUCUUCACAUUUCUUUGCACUUCACUAUUUGCCAGCAUUUUUUUUUUUCCUGUAGUAAAAUAAACUGAUUUUAAAAAGAAAAAAGGAAGGGAAAAGAAACAGUUCUUUCAGGUACCAAUGAAGGGAGUGGCUUACUGCUUUAAACAAAAGAAAAAAAUUUUAAUUCUCUUAUUUUCAUUGAAGUAGUUUUAACACAAAUCUCCUUCAAAAUGUGAACUCUGAUCUCUCCUCAAUUUAACAAUUUAGUGUGUAGAUUUUUUAUGGAUUAAACUUCUAACACUGAAGAUGUUUUGGCUGUGUAAUUGUGUUACCAAGAUGUACUUGGCAAAGGAAAGUGUAUGUUCUAGAAGCAGGGCAGAACAUUUUGCCUCCACACACUCUUCUACUGAAAUCUUGGGGAAAAGCCAGCAGGGUGUCAAUGUACUUUUUAUUAUUAUUAUUAUUAUUAUUAUUAUUAUUAUUAUUAUUAUUAUUGUUAUUAUUUUCCUCACUCUAAGGAAAUAGACAAACCUACUUUAACAGAAUGGGCUUUCUUUCCAUGAGCAUUAGCAUCUAUUUUGAUUUGUACUCUUCUGUUUUUUGUUUUGUUUUGUUUUGGUGUUGGGGUUUUUUUUGUUGCUGCUUUUUUUUUUUUUUUUUUUUAACUUGCAAAUUUUCCCUGUAGCUAGAGAAAAGAGAAAUAAUAUGGUAAGUAUUCAAAUCCUGAUCCUUUUGACAGCUUUCUAGUUAUCUAACUAGUGUCAAGUUUUUUUGCCCGGAUGAUUUAGGAAAAAAAUUAAAAUAACAUUAAAUCUUUGGUUAUAAUGGUGCUAACCCUGAUAUUAUCUUAUGCUCAUGAAGCAUACAUCUGAGAUUAUAAAAAUGAGUUUUUAGUUCAAGUAUACCCACUUGAUUGAGAAGACUGAUAACAAGACUGAUAUGUGUUAGUAAAUAAAAACUGAUCCUAAAAGAUUAAUUAAAAGAUAAGCACUCAUAUAAAGAGAAAUGUUUGCAGAAUCUUCAUUCAGCCCUAUCGAGCUGUCUUUAAUAUAUUACCAUAUAUAUUUUUAUUCCCCAAAACACUUGUUAUUUAGUAUACUCCUUGAAUUUUGAAUAAAUGUGAAGUGUGUGUUCAAACAGUUCAAUCUAUGUCCUCCUGUGCUGUGAACAGGAAAAAAUUAAACUUGUCACUCAUUCAUCAGGGUUUUCUCACAGCUGUACUAGUAUUUGGAAGGUAGUGCCUUCCUUUGUAAAUUGUUUUAAGAUCUGUUUUAAUAACAUGCUACAUAAUAUUAAAUGUACGAUACUUGACAACAUGAAUCUUUUGUAUAAUGAACGGAAUCAUAUUUCAGUGAUCCACCAACAAGUACAUCUGCAAUCCUGGGAACAUUUUCCUGUUGAAUAUUGGAAGACCACACCUUUUAUUUUACCCAUUUAUUUAAAGAAACUAGCAGUAUGUGUAUUCAGGACAAAACCUAGUAAAACCUGUCUUCAGUUAGUGGCUUAUAUGAACCUUGCUGCAAUAACUCAGGCAUGGGAUAUUCAAAGUAUGCCUAGUUAGCAUAGUAGAGAGAGGGAUACUAGUCUGGAGUAACAAAAGUUGAUUUAUGUUGUUGUAGUUAUUCACCCCCACAGAACCUAGGGAGGGGCCAGGGAGACUUCCGUGUAGCAUGCUAGUGGUGUUUUUAAUAAAAUGAUAUGAAAAGUGUGUGUUGCAUGUCUAUAUGGAAGUAUGACAUAAGAACACACAGGCAGCUGAGAUCUGGCUUUGUUGUGUACAGACAUGUUUUUGUGUAUGCAUGCUAGAGUAUAGUGGUGCAAAUGCUGAGACAGUCCUGCUGCACCCUCAUUCAGACUGCCUGUAGAUUUACUUUGGAGUAAAUUAUCCCCAGGUUCACACCUGAAGUUUCCCUGAAAGAAAACUGCCUUUGACAGUUCAAAAGAGAGCCCAGAAGCAAACUGACAUACAAGCAGUGUGAACAGUCAAUGAACUGCAGAGUGAAGUGAAAUGGAGUGCUAAGUUGUUUGACAGCAUGCAUAGGUGACUUAUCUAACAUGUAUCUUGUCAGCUAUUUCUGAAUGGCACUGAUGUCCUGAGGAGACAUACCCUGAAACACCAUUCUCAUAUCUUGAAUUAAUUCUAUAAAGAUUCCCACACAAAGACAUGCACUCCAUUUUCUUUUGCUUUUGAUGGCAUUUGGCAUCAUUAUCUUUAACUUGUCAUACGUUUAUUCACAGAAUUACACAGAAUGGUUAUGGAAAGGGAUGUCUAGAGGUCAGGUUUUUUUUUUGUUGUUGUUGUUGUUCAAAAUACUCCUGACUCUUCCAUUUUCAAUGCAUUUCUGACACAACACAGAAAAAUUAAAUUAGUAUCUCCUUCUAUUGCAAAUGAAUAUUUAUCCAAGGAAGUCUUAUUUUCUAACAUCCAUCUUUGUGUGAAAUAACAUUUUUAUAUGAUAUAACUCAUUACAAAUUUACUCUAGAUAAUUUCUAUUAUGUCUAUUCCAUUUUAAAAUAUUAGUAAUACUUUUUCACUAAUUAGGGGGCCAAAAUAUCUUACUGCUCUCCAAUUUUAUCCAGCUACUAGAAAACUGCAUUUCAGUCCUUCUCUAAAUUACUGUAAGAAAUUUUAUAAAAUAUCUUCAGUAAAAAUUGUAGAUAAUAUCAGUCUUUUUCUUGUAUCAUCUGAUCUGUAACUGUCUUUUAAACAGAAACAUAUUCUUGCUUAGUUUUGUAUAGAUUAGACAGAAGAAAAUAAAACCAGAGAACAUUUGAGAACAUUACUUUCCUUUUAAACUUCUUUAACCAGAAAUAAGUGUACACUUGUUGCAAAUUUAAUUUGAAGAAUUCCCUAAUUUUGGAAAGGUCUGUCAUUUAAAACCACUCUUUAAAAUACUAUUGGCAGAAUAUUAACUAGCAGUAUAAUACAGGCUUUCUGUUACUUGAGUAAAAUAUUGGUAGUGAGAUUUGAGCAAACUAAGCUUAGAGAAGAAGAUAAAACCUUACACUUAAAGGAGCAAUUCAGAAUGUCUGUAUUAGCCCUGCUUCACAGUGGAGAAACUCACAUUUUAGGUUAUCAAAUUUGAGGUGAUUGUCAGUUUCUGUGACAUGAAAAAUGAAUGGGGAGAUCUUGGUCAGAACAGACAGGAGGUAAUCCAGUCCUAAAUUUUCAUAGUGCCUUCUCUUCCUAUUUGGUUUUUAAUUCAGUGCCUAUCCGAUAUGAAACAAAUGAAUUCAAAAUUCUGAUCAUAUCUUGUGUGCUUUGUGUUACUCUACUGCAGAAAUUACAUGCUCUUGUUCAAGCCAGGGGACUCCUGCAUACAUAGUGAACUGUAGCUGAACUUCAAUAGGAAGAAUAGAUCUGAGACAUAGGUUUGAAUAUCUUUUGGUGAACUGAGCUCUUUUCAGACUUUCUGAAUCAAUUGCUGUGCAAAACUAGGCAAUUAAACCCUUUUUUAAAAAGGCAAAUUUUGUUUGACUUAAUAAAUACUUCCAAAAAAUAAGCUUGAUCUGAGAGGACAGGACACACCUUGAAAAAGGAAUGGAACGUCAGAUGCAAAACUGCACUUAAAAUUUCAGAUAGCCAUAGGUAGAUUUUGGUGUUUAGUUUAUCACUUAAACACUUUAAAGAAUUGUGAUACAACCAUUCUUUUUUUUUUUUUUUUUUAAUUGGGACUUCUAAAAUUGAUACUCACGGUAUACAUUACCAGUGUCUUUUAUGUACAGAACUGCAGUCGAGAUGAGAAUAAUGACAUCCUUCCAUUGGUACAUGAGAACACAAGCUGUUUGCAUUUGUAUUGCAUCUUUUUGCCUAUUUAUUUGCCACAGACUAUUUUAGUAAUUUAGGGAAUAUUUUUUACUUGAUACUUUUUGUUAGAGUGAAAAAUCAAUACUGAAAACCAUAUAGUCCAUAUUAAUAAAAUACUCUUUUUACAGUUUACUCCCUGCUGAUUGAUUUGGUAAGAGUUUAAAAUUGCUUAUGUUGAAGAAUUAUUCCAUAAAUAUAAAAUUUAUAAAAUUUGCUAAAUUCAUCUCAUCACCUUCUUGAUUUGAUCGAUUUUGGAUUUUUUUUUUCUGUAGGUUUCUACAAUGCUAAAAUCUCUUUGCUGUUUUCAGUUAAUUUGUGGAAUAUCUGUACAUACGUUUUUGAAGGAAAUACAAAUAGGAAGCAAUUAAGUUGAGUUAUGAAGAAUCAUACAUAGUGUCAUAGGCCCAUAGCAAAUGGGCUAAUUGUCAAGAGUUAUUUUUUCCUUCUCCAAAACUGCUAAUAAUGUCUUUUCUUUCUACUUUUUUUCCCUCUCUUUUCUAGAGUAAGAAGUGAACAUAUGGUUUAGGACUUAGUUUUGUGGAUCAACAGCAUUCUGUGGUACUUAGUAUUUCUGGUUAUUCUCUAUUCAGUAGAGAAAUUGCCAUUCUUCAUUGCUAAUUUAGGACUAGUUUAAACUUCAGGACACAAUUUAGUAGAUGACAACAGGAAUUAUUCCUAUUUGAGCUUCCCAGGAACAUGUGUACAGUCCUAGGAGCUCUUCAUCAGCUCUGCCAGUUUGGCACUAGGAUUGUGGUAAUUGCUACUGCCAAGUAAGAACAAAAAAAUCUCACUUCCCACAGUUAAUUUGAUUCACCAGAUCUAGGAAAAUGAAGAUGAUGUCAUGUAUGCUCUGCUUAUUUAUUUGUCUUCUGGAAAAGGAAGGAUUUAGAGAACAUUCUUCCACUUAAUUUUGAACAUUCCUGUAUACCUUUAUCUUAAAUCUCCCUCACUCUAAAGCGUAGACAUCUCACUGAACUCAAAAUUUAGCCCUUGUUUGGUGACUUUUCCAAAAAUAUCUAAGUAUUUUGCAAAGGUAAAAAUUUCAAGGCAAAAAGAGGUUAGAAGUAUUUUAGAACAUCUACAGAAAAAAAUAUCAACUGUAUCUCAGAAAUUGCCUCUAGUCCAUUUUCUCCACCUUUUUUAACAUUUUUAAAGUAAUUCCUACUUUAUGACUAGUCACAUGAGAUUAGUUUAUUCCUAUUCUGAAGCUGCAUAUUUAGAAAUGAUUUUGCAUUUGUAGAGAUGGCCCUCAUUUCUGCAUGUGACAUGCAAAAAAACAAUGACACAAGUACAACUCAGAGAUUUCUGAAACUACUGCUCCCUAGGAAGGAAAUAUUCCCUAGACAGGGAAUAGGGAUCUACUUCUCACUAGAAAUGAAUACAAAGACAUUUUGCAAAACACAGUUAUGGGUGAGGAUGCUGAGGGAGUCCAAAAUUGUGUCAAAAAUACUGAGAUGUGAAAGCUCAUCUGUAUGAUAUCUACAUUCUCUGCAUUCUCUGGGUAAUUAUAUUCUUUUGCCCCUUAAUAGGGUGAAGGGCUUAAAAUGUUAUUUAGCUAACUCUCCCUUGUCAGUUUUGCCAAUAAAUAGGGAAUUAAACUAAAGGAUUAGCCAUAAAAUAGAUUACAGUUCAAAGAGUCAUUGAAGAAAACAGAAGACAGACAAAUAGAAAAUUAAUCUAUUCUCUUGGUAUUCUGUGUGUCAGGGAUUGAAAGAGAAGUGAUAAUGUUACCCCAUUAAAGUCAGUUCAUACUUUUUGAAGAACAGAAAUAAGUUUUAUAAAGUUGAAAAGCUGGAAUAGAUAAGGCUUUUUUAGAGCACAGAAUCAGUUUCUUUAAGUGGCAGACAAUCAUUCACGUUGCCUUUAGGAUUGAGCAACACUGCUAAUUUUAGCAACAUUUGACAGUCAUUGCAGUUAGGAGUAUGUAAAUAUUUUCAUUGCCAUCAACGUUUGUCAGACAUGAAGACUUUCGCUAUUUCAAAUGGAGUAGGAAGAGUAAUUUUUGAAGAUGUAAUAACCACCAACAGUGCUUUAUUUCUUGAUCAUCCCCCAAAAUCUAUAUGAUCAUUCAUAUACAAACUGGAAAAAGUACCCUCAUGUCAAAGUUACUCAGAAAGAUUUUCUGUGAAUGUUCACUAAAAUAGUUCAUCUACUAGAAAAAAAACAAAAAAACAAAAAAAACAUGAAGGAAAUAUUUUCUUGUUGACAGAAUUGAAAGUACCCUUUUGUUUUCAUUUAUUCUCUUAUCUGUUGAAGAAGUUUUGUUCUGCAUGUACCUACCAAUAAAAUAAUUUCAGUACCUGUUCUACCUAUUUACCAGAUCAUCAGCCUUACUGCUUUUUAGGCAAAUGAGCUCAACAAGUCUGGCAAGUUAAUUAAAUUACACAUCACCAGACAUAACAACAAAAAGUGUCAUUUCCUAAUACCAGUGGCAAUGGUUAAACGUUCUGAAACCAUCUGAAGGACAUGGCAGCAGUGUAGUUCUUCAAAUACUUUAAAAUUAUUUUUCAAAGAAAAUUCAUAGGUGGAAAAAAUGAAAACAGGAUUUUACUUCAGUUUAUAGUGCUAUAGAAGGCAUGUGAACAUUUACAACUGUAGUAGCAAUUAUUGUAUAAGAGUUAAAACAAAAACCCCUGCAUCAAGCUAGAUAAAUUACCCAUUUAAUUAGUCUUUACUUUCACUCCUGUGUUUUCUCCAUCUCUUUCCGACUCCCCUUCUUUCUCCUUCCUUCUCCCCCUCCUUUUCUCUUUCUCUCUCUCCUUUUCCUCCUCCUUGCAGCUUGAUACCAGAUCCCAAUAAAAAUAUUACUGUGGAAAUCCUGCUUUGUUUCAGCCAGUUCCAGUGACUUUUUUUCUCUCCUUUGUUAAUAUUCCAUCAUUGUUCUUUCUAAUUCAGUAACCUUAAUUCUAAAGAUGACAUUAAAAUAUCUGGAAUCACUGCAUUAAAUAAUCAGGAUGAUGUAUUAUUAACAAUAAGACUUUGAUGAUCUCUGAGAAUUAUUGUGCUAAAGUUCUGUUUUCAGUUUUAAAAAUACUGUUUUUCAUAUACUUUUGUGUUUGUUGUAUGCAUGUAAGACACUUACUGUACUUUGCAAUCAAGAGAAUAAAGGAAAAUCAAAGAAAUACCCACCUUAGUGUGGUUAAAAAAAUACUAUACAUAUCUCCCACUACAUUUCUGACUGACAGUUUUUUAAACUAAGAUUGACAACACGUAGGACGUAAUGAGUGGGAAGACGACUGGAGUGUUCAGCUUAUAAAAGAGAGAUCUGCCUUCAGAAUAGCACUAGAAGUUGUUGCCAUCAUCUGUUAGUGCAUUUAAGAAGAACAUUAUAAACAGUAUCUAUGUAAAAGACCUCCAAAUGACGUAAAUAUCUCCUUUUAAAAAUUAUGAUUUGUAUUUGUGGAUUCCCGCACCUACAUAUUUGCUUUAUUAGAGCAGUGCUGUAUUGCUGAUAAUUCUCACAAUAAAUGAAUAUACAGAUAGCCAGGGAAAUAGACAUAGUGACAACCAGUGAGUGGACAGCAACAUCAGACUUCGCUUAUACUAAGUAAAAAAAAAACACACACACACAAAAAAAACAUGGUUAAGGAGUGAGAGUCUCUGAGAACUCACGGUUUCUGAGAUAAGUGAAAGGUACUAGCUCACUUCUGCACUGCUGAGAGCUAGCUAGUCCACUGGAAGUUUACCAGAUCCACACUGCAUUGUUCUUGAAUGUUUCAAUUAAACUCUUAGGGAUUUAAGAGCACCCUCAUAUUACAGGUGUGGGAGUUGUGGCAAGUGGUAAGAUUAUUUUACAGAACUAAUGUGAAAGCACAUUACAGAAGCAUUUUUAUUAGGAAACUCAGAAUUUUGUAUUGGAAGUUUGGAGGUGCCUGUCACAUGACAAUCUGUAGCAUGCAUCUGGGUGAUUAGUUUAUGAGGAUGGUCUUGGAGGACUUCAGAGAAUAUCUGGAGAGAAAACUGGCAGUGUUUCAUCUGUAUAGAUGUCUGCAGUCAGUUUAUGAAGAGAAUUGUCUCCAAAAGCCUUCUCAGACUUUGUUUUGAAGAGAGAUAUUUGGAGCAGUCCAAACCAUAACCAGAGAAAGACCCCCCAGUUAAGCAGGCAGAGAUGGAGGGAAUUGUGCAGCAGAAAUCUCCAUCUCCCAUUUACUAGAGAAGGUAGAAUUGUGGAAAUUCAGAUACUAGGAGCCAGGAGUGGUUUCUUUCACAAUUCUGCAAAGUUUAAAUUAGGAUUGAAUUGUAGGUUAAGAACAAUGAUAGUACAAAAAACUAAAAAAAAAAUUAAAAAAAUAAAAAAAUCACAGAGUCCUAUGUUCUCACACAUCUCACAUUUCUUUUUCAGGUACAGAAAUAUGCCAGUAUGUACAAGUCUUUUUAGAGCACGUAGGCAGCUCAACCAGUGUAACAGAGAGAAAAGUCUGGAUGUAUACUUUUCUUUCUUCCUGUUGAUAAUUGAAGACUGUGAAGAAGGUGAAUCCAUAGUCUUAUGAAUACUCCUUGCUUCUAAUUUUGGUUGUGGUUACACAGGCAACAAAUGUAGGUAACAUGAGUGCUGAACAGCCUCAUAACUCUUUGUGUGGACACAAAGCCAGGAUCACAGUCUGCCUCUUCAAGAUCUGACAAUUUCAUGAAAUACUGUAAUCUGAUUUAUAUCUUUUAUUUUAUUCCUUUUUAUAAUGCAGAGAAAAUAUGCAUCCCUGAAUCAAGGUACGACACAGCAUGUGGGGUGGAAAACAAGGAGUGUAAUAAAAGGUGCUAUAAUAAAAAUGUGUUCAUAUUUCAGUGUGAAACUGGUUCUUGGGAAUUCAAAGAAAUUUCCCAUAUGUAGAAGAAAUUUGCUUGGAACAACUCUUCUGAUACUUAGCUGAUACUUAGAAUCCUGGAACACAGUGAACCCCAAGUUCUGUGGUGACUAGAAUAUGAUGUCCUAGUGCUGCAGAACUUUAAAAGCCAUAUUUGAAUAUUUGAUUUUAAAAUAAUGGUUAAAUAUUCAUUUGCAAAAUAGCAUGACUUAACAGGUUUUUUUUUGUUUUUCAUGGAUCAUAGAGAAGUUGUGUAUACUGUACCUAUGCAUGUCACCAAAAACCAAAUAAAUUUCUAAAAUAAGCCUGCUUUCUGAUAUUGUGUUAGGAAACAUGGCUCUGUAUCUCUCAUUUAACUAGGAUUAAAUUUGACAAGAUAUUCAGGCAUUGGGGCAAACACACGAUAGUGAAAAGGAGGACAUAAGUUGUGACUGACUGCACUUUUGCUACCAUUCUCAAGAGGUGACACAGUAAUGUUUAGUGGAACCACAGCAAAAAGAACGAAUACCUGCAAGGCACCAUCUGGCAAUUAAUAUUGUGUUGCUGCAAAUAUAUCUUUAAUGGGAAUAAGUGACUGAAACUUUCACAAUUUUCUGUGUUGAGUGCAGUAACAGAAACAGAAUGCAGAGAAGCAGCAUUUCACAUCUCCUAUUUUCUAACCAGCAGUUCAGGGAAAGAUGCUUCAGUACUCUGAAUAAAGGCUUUUGAGCACAAAAACAAUGAACAAAAUUGCCUUUCUCCAGAAAUUGUUCUCUUUUUCCUCAGCUUCAGGAUACCUUAGAGUUCACAGAAGGAAAAGGGAGAAAGGUUAACUCCCUUACUGUCUUUUCCUUAUUCAUAGACAAGCAGCAUAGCCUCAUUUUAUUACUAUUAUCUCCACUUUUUCUGGACUGUGAAAGACAUUUAUAUCUUUUCAUACUAACAGAUGUAAAUGAAGAAAUAAAAUAUGUAAAUACUAACAUCACAUGCAGAAAAAUCAAAUCCUUAUAUUUAAUUUCCUUCUAUAGCCAUCCAGUUCAUUGCAUACCAGUGCAGGAAACAAGGUUACCUAUGAAACCAUCUUCCUUUAGCAGACAACUUUUCUCUCUCGCCUAAAAGCAGGCAAGCACAGAAAGACAUCCUUAUUAGUACUGAGCAAAAUAAGCUGUAAGAAUAAAGGGAGAAACGUGGAAGAAAGUGAUCCUGAUGCAGUCAGCCUCAGACUGUUUCUCCUUUAAAUGGUGAUGUGAAUAUACAGGUUAAAUUUUAUACUUGCACUCUAGAUAUUACAAAAUGUUGUUUAGUAUCAAAGGCCAAUCCAAAUUAACAACUUUUUAGAAGAUUUCUUUAACUUUUGGACAUGUUUAAAUGUCUGUUGGAGAGAAUCAUGUCUAUGUUGGAGAAGGAAGCAUUCAUCAGGUAUAUGCUAACAGGAAAUGAAGAUUUAUACCUUUGUUAGGCAUGGGCUGAAUUCCAUCAUUUUUCAUUUUUUGACAUUUUAGCAUUUGGGAUUUUUUAAACAGGUGAGUGAUUUUUGCAAAGGGAGAUUAAUAUUGAUAUUCAGAGUUGGAUUAUGUCCAUCCAAACUUGUCUUCAACCCUGUACUGAUUUUAGUAAAAAUUAUGCUUAAGGAAUAUUAGGCUCUUCAAGUGGUUGGUUAACACAGAAAAUGUAUGUUUUCAUUGGUGUAUGCACUCUUCAGACACUCAGAAAUUGAGUAAAAUUGUGGCAAUUUGUUUUUUCCCAGAAAAGUAUAUAUUGAGCAAAGUUGUAUAAAAUCAACAUGUUUUAUACCAUAAUUCUUUUCUGUCAUUCAUUUUGUUAACUAACUCUGAAGUAUAAGCACUGGAAUACCAUGCCCCAUUUUUCAUUGUCCUAAACAUUUUGAGUGGUGUUUUUUAAUUUUUAGCAGAAUAAGAGUGAUUUAGAAAAAAAAAACAAUCAUAGUGGAGAGUCACAGACUGAUGAAAAAGCAGCUACCCCUCAAAUCCAUUCAAAUAUGUAUAAAAUGUUUUCCCAUUUUCCUAUGGCUGCAUUAUUUUUUCUUCUACUUCUGCCUUUGUUUUCUUAACUUUUCACUAUAAGUCAUGAUUCAGGUAUACUCAUCCCCUGUGUCAUGCUAUUUUCUUGGUUCUAAAAUACUUUUGAAACAAAUCAGUGAAUCUGUAAGUAGCACCAGUUCUGCUGAAAUUUAUCAAGGGAAUCUGAAGUCCUACCUUAUUUCUGAACAACUAUUCCAUAUUUAUAUAUGUCUCUACAGCCAGGCCUGAGCUGGUAGGCACCAAAAGGAUUCGCUGACAUGUUUAAUACUUCCAGACAUUUUUAGAGGUGUUUAUUUUGAGGAUAUAAUUAUCUACUUCAUACAUAUUUCUCUACCUGAGUAAGGCUCUGUUGAACAAGAUGACAGGUAUGCAGGACUGUUCUGAAAAGCCAGUCACAAUUCUGAUGGUUUACCUUGCAGUACUGUUCAACUACUUCACAAUCACUUGCUUCCUGGAACUUGUCAGAGAAACCUGAAAGUUUUCUUUUUAGAUUUCAUUAUCUCAAGAGAAAAAAAAAUCAUGUCUUCUAAAUUCUGAGGAGUCACCUCUGCAUUUCUGCUAAAACUAAUGUGUCAUAACAAAACAACUAGAGGCUGCUUGACUCUAAAUACUCUCAUUUGGAUUAGUCUAAUCCAGCAAAUAGUUCUUUCUCUUUCCCCCCCACCUCCCACCUCACUCCCAGCUGCAGUCUAACACAAUGCAAAUAUGUAUGGCUUAAAGAGAAAAGAGGGCAGUUUAAGGGGCAGCUUUCUUUCCCUUUCAACUUGAUGAUUAGAAAUAUUUUCGUAAGAUACAAGCUUAGAUCUUUUGCAGCUGAGUUAGGCUCAGAAGAUACCUCCCUAGCUUCCUAGGAAAAUGCUCUAGAAUAAGAUAAUAAGCAAAAGAUAAAAGACCAUUGUCACAUUUCCUUUAGAAGAGCCAACCUUGUCUCAGAAGCUUAGACAAACUAGUUCUUGAGCAGAAAAAAUUGUCUAAAGAAAAAGAUAGUCAUCUAACAUAGAUACAGUGAAUCACAACACAGAUUUUUUGGGAACAUAAUCCAAGUUUAAUGGAAGUUUUCAGAAACAUCACCCCAUCUUCACUGAUAAAGUUGGAUUGUUUUUUUGAGAACUGAAUUUCUCCUUACCCUUCCAACAGAGCUAGCCAUCUAGAAUUCAGAUUUACAUGUGUCAAAAGUAAUCAUCCUAGUACCCAGCCUUUUCUAUCCUUUUUUUAAAGCUUUCUUUUGUUCUUUCCUUAUUUCUUUUUGAAAGUAACUUGCAUGUAAACUUUGAGAUCAACAAUACUUUUGACUUCCAUACAUAUAGCAUAAGGCAUUUAAUGAUAGCAUAAAAUUUAUUUUCUUAAUUGAAAAAUGAAUACUUAAACAAAAGCAUAGGAAAUAUUUCAAUGUUUUGAAAGAAUUCUACCACACACUUCCUUGAUGUCUAUUUAUGACAUCUCUGUAUUUCUUAAAACAAAGAUUAGUAAGUGCAACUAUCUGACUUUCAUAUGAAAAUCAAAACAAUAUUUUUUUUAUCUGGGAGAAGGAUAAAUUUGCAUUUUCUAAAAUUAUCAUAUUCAUGCUUAAAAUAUCUCAAAGGUUAGAAGAAAACUAUUAACUUUUUAAAGAAAUUACAUAUGCUAUUUAUUUCAAUAGACAAAAGUACUAUUGACUGGGUCAAAGACAAGCUCAGUACUAAGCUGGAGUGUGCAAAAGAGUGUUACACAAACAUUUUUUGAUUGUCAGUCCUCUGAAGAGCAUUUAAUAAAAUGGAUACCACUUUGUCUUUAUUUUCUGUUUACCACUGGAAAAAACAACCCAUUUCUUAAAGCUGAAGUCUGGGUUUUCCUUUACUAUUUUAUAUCCUCUAGUGACUUUUUACUACUAUAAUUCAUGUAUAAGCAUAACAAAACAUCUUACAUAUUCAGGUACACCACAUACUUGGAUGAUAUUCCCUGAAUGAUUUAAUAAGGAAUUUAUUUUUCUACUUCAUUUUUUUCUUUAAAAAUUAAUACAUUCAUCUUUUAUAAAUAGACUGUGUAACUGCUUUCUAUGUAUUGAAAAGGAUUACAUUUACCGGCUGAGGAUGUAGAGUUUCAAAAUCAGUGUGUCACAAUUGAACCAUGUACAUGGCUAUUUCCUUCAAAGCAGAUGGAUACUUUUUUUCUUUGUUAUGAAAAAAUUCCUUUCAUUAAGUUGUAUGUUUGCCCUAUCUUACGCUGUUUCAGCAUUAACAACCUAAGGCAAAUUCUUUCUUCUUUCAGUCUUAUUAAAACUGAAUGAGACCUAUAUUAAUGCCUUGGAUCUUGAAUUGCAUACUAAGGUGCAAUAAUAAAGAGUGAGAAAGCUUGCUGUUUGACUUUUUAAAUAGACAAAAAAGACAAAAAAGAGACAAAUUCAUUCUGUUCAAUUGGUUUUGAGCGGUCUCAGAGGAUAGCAUCUUGUUUAUCUGAUUCUGUCCAUGAAAAGAUUUCCACAAAAAGUGAGUGUUACCUGAAAAGUGUACUUCAUAAUCCUAAAUCAAGAAAUAAUAGCACAUUUCUUUACAAGUCAUAGAACAGACAAUUGAAUGAUAUUGUCUGAUUCUGCUGUGAUGUUAUCCCUUUUUAAGUCAUUAUCUUCAGCAAGAGCUUUGCUAUUUUAUCAGCUGCGACUCAAAAUACAGGUUCUUCUAAUGUUCUCUCAAAGGCUUAGCUGAUAACAUCAGGAAAAGUGAAUUCCAGGUUUAGUACAACUAAUUCUUUUUACUCAAGCAUUUUUUUUAAUGCAAAGAUACAAAUCAAAGAUAGAAAUGAUGUUCACAGUGUACCAACUUUUUGGCUCAAUAGUUAUAUAUCUCCAGAGUAAAACUGUUAUUUUUUUGGUUAAUACCAUUCCAUAGUUUCACAGAUGUUACCAUUAGUAACUGUAAAGCAAACCAAUAUAUAGGCUGUAAGGUAAAUAGGUAUACAGGUAUAGGACCAGAAAGAUUAUCACGUUAUAAAGGAGUAAUGAAAUAAAGAGCUUACCCAUGUCCCAAAGGGCUCCAAAAGGAGUGAUCUCCAGAGAGAGAGCCUUCCUCCUUGGAAGUCAGCCCUUAAAUGGGGUCUAGGAGGGGUGGAGCCUGGCUCCUCCCCCCCCCCUACCUGUCACUCAGGUGAAAUUGCCUUCACCUGUGCCUCUGCGGCUGACUCAGUGCUCACCUCAGGUGGUCAAUCAGAGGUUCAGGCCGUGAUUCAACGGUUCCCAUACAGUAACUUGAGAAAACAUGAUGCUGACUAGAGAGGAAGGUGUUCAGUCAAGGAGUUUCAUUUUCUUUAAAAAUGGAGGGAAAAAAGAAAAAUGACUAGAGAAGAGAAGAGAAGCUGAGGGUUCUGAGCUUGUUUAGUCUGGAGAAGGCAAAGUUUUGGAGACUUCAUUGCAACCUUUUGAUACUUAAAGGGGACUUACAAACAGGAGUGAGACUGACUUUUUACACAGGCAGAUAGCUAUAAGACUAAGGGGAAUAGUUUUAAACUAAAAGAUAGGAGAUUUAGAUUAAAUCUAAGGAGGAAAUUUUUCAUUGUGAGGGUGGUGAGGUACUGGAACAGGUUUCCCAGAGAAGCUGAGGAUGCCCCAUUCCUGUGGAAUGUUCAAAAUCAGGUUGGACCUUCCAUUGUUUCACAUAGGUGUUGUGAAAUUAUACUGAAAUAUACAUACCAAACACUAAUUAAUUCAGAAAAAAAAAAACAGUGAAUAAUUCUCCCUUCAAAAACAAAACAAAAAACAAAAAAACAAAUCUGCAGUAAGUAAAUCUUUAUGUCAUUUGACUGAAAUAGAGGUGUGUUCAUUUUUUAUAUUGAAGAAUCUCCUUGUUCAGCCUCUGGUCUAGUCUCUGUGGUCUGCUGUUUGUAUCUUUUAUCUAUUGCUGUUUCUUGUCACUCUAGCACAACUCAGUACUAGAUCUAGUUGGGAUACUGUUGGUUUCUUCAUAGCAACCCAUAUAGUUCAUGUUUUAAAUUUCUGACCAGAUCAGUGUUUUAAGUUGUUGAACUGUACCUGCACAUUGUCAAGGCCAUCCCUCACAGAGAGUUGGCUGGGGGAUGGGCAAGAAUAUGGAGGGAAACACAGCUGGGAAAGCUGACCUGAACUGACCAAAGGAACAUUCCAUCCUGUAUGGCAUGGCUAGGACUCAACCUACCAGGGAUUCAGUAGUUGUUUUUUCCCAUUCCACAAAUAGUUCUAUAAGACUUCCUAAGAAUCUAGUCUUUUCUACAAACCAGAUUUCAGUCAAAGUGGUUAAUCUUCUCCCACAUAACUAGUGAUAGGACUAGAGGUAAUGGCCUCAAAUUGCACCAGGGCAGAUUCAGUUUGGAUGUUAUGAAAAUUUUUUUCUCCAAAAGAGUGUUUAGGCACUAUAACAGGCUGCCCAGGGAGGUGGUGCAGUCACCACCCCUGGAAGUGUUCAGGAAAAAUUAAAGUGUUGUACUAAGGGGCAUGGUUUAGUGGGAAACAUUGGUGGUAGGUGGAUGGUUGGACUGGAUGUUCUUGGAGGUCUUUUCAACCUUGAUUAUUGUAUGAUUCUAUGAAUCUUUUAUAAUUACUUUUUAUCAGUGAUUGAAAUGCUGGGGCCUAAGAUAAGCCCUGGAUAAAAUUUGAACUAUAGAUGAACGAUACAACCUCACAGUACAUCUAUUAGCUAUUGUAUUAACUGAACAUAUAAGAUGCCAUUUAUCCAUAUUUUGCCAUGUCAGGAUGAGUAUCUGUAUUUUGGUGUUUAACUACAGAAGUGCUGUUAUAAUGCUUACUGUGCAGUAAUAAUGGUCAAAUAAUAUCUUUCUAGAUC